rnacentral:piRNA from 1 species
UGUUGUUGUUCUAUGAUUGCCUCUUCAAAC